rnacentral:snoRNA from 15 species
CCGUUCUUGUGUUAUUCGCUGAAUUUGUACUCCCAUUCAGCGAUUGUCAAACAGAACGCACAGAAAAUUCCAAGUCAGCGGAAUCCACAUUGUUGAGCCUAUAUACAACAAGGCUUCUACAUUACUAAUUCCUGGCCACAUUC